AGUGAACGCUGGCGAUAGGCCUAACACAUGCAAGUCGAACGGCAGCACAGUAAGAGCUUGCUCUUACGGGUGGCGAGUGGCGGACGGGUGAGGAAUACAUCGGAAUCUACUUUUUCGUGGGGGAUAACGUAGGGAAACUUACGCUAAUACCGCAUACGACCUACGGGUGAAAGCAGGGGAUCUUCGCACCUUGCGCGAUUGAAUGAGCCGAUGUCGGAUUAGCUAGUUGGCGGGGUAAAGGCCCACCAAGGCGACGAUCCGUAGCUGGUCUGAGAGGAUGAUCAGCCACACUGGAACUGAGACACGGUCCAGACUCCUACGGGAGGCAGCAGUGGGGAAUAUUGGACAAUGGGCGCAAGCCUGAUCCAGCCAUACCGCGUGGGUGAAGAAGGCCUUCGGGUUGUAAAGCCCUUUUGUUGGGAAAGAAAAGCAGCAGGUUAAUACCCCGCUGUUCUGACGGUACCCAAAGAAUAAGCACCGGCUAACUUCGUG
rnacentral:rRNA from 1 species